rnacentral:rRNA from 1 species
CUGAUGUUAGCGGCGGACGGGUGAGUAACACGUGGAUAACCUACCUAUAAGACUGGGAUAACUUCGGGAAACCGGAGCUAAUACCGGAUAAUAUUUUGAACCGCAUGGUUCAAAAGUGAAAGACGGUCUUGCUGUCACUUAUAGAUGGAUCCGCGCUGCAUUAGCUAGUUGGUAAGGUAACGGCUUACCAAGGCAACGAUGCAUAGCCGACCUGAGAGGGUGAUCGGCCACACUGGAACUGAGACACGGUCCAGACUCCUACGGGAGGCAGCAGUAGGGAAUCUUCCGCAAUGGGCGAAAGCCUGACGGAGCAACGCCGCGUGAGUGAUGAAGGUCUUCGGAUCGUAAAACUCUGUUAUUAGGGAAGAACAUAUGUGUAAGUAACUGUGCACAUCUUGACGGUACCUAAUCAGAAAGCCACGGCUAACUACGUGCCAGCAGCCGCGGUAAUACGUAGGUGGCAAGCGUUAUCCGGAAUUAUUGGGCGUAAAGCGCGCGUAGGCGGUUUUUUAAGUCUGAUGUGAAAGCCCACGGCUCAACCGUGGAGGGUCAUUGGAAACUGGAAAACUUGAGUGCAGAAGAGGAAAGUGGAAUUCCAUGUGUAGCGGUGAAAUGCGCAGAGAUAUGGAGGAACACCAGUGGCGAAGGCGACUUUCUGGUCUGUAACUGACGCUGAUGUGCGAAAGCGUGGGGAUCAAACAGGAUUAGAUACCCUGGUAGUCCACGCCGUAAACGAUGAGUGCUAAGUGUUAGGGGGUUUCCGCCCCUUAGUGCUGCAGCUAACGCAUUAAGCACUCCGCCUGGGGAGUACGACCGCAAGGUUG